CGACCAGGAGCGAACAACACCUUCCUCCUUUCCAGCAGUGAGACCAUCAUCGCUGAUGUGGGACUUGGUAGAGUCCGCCGCCCCCACCCUUCUUUGUCAGGUGCGGUGCGUAGGCGUAGAUCCUCACUUACGACCGUGAGCUCUUUUUAAUCAGCAUGACAAAUAAUUGAAAAGCAAGAUGAUGUCUAUUAAUCAUCCUGUGUGACCUUGUGUUCGAUGGCUGCAACAUUUAUACACCAGUAUUGCUAUCGAUCGUACUGAUCAAACUAUGUUGCUAUCAGUAGGUGAUGGAGCUAGACAUGCAAGCAUCUAGCAACUAUGCUUUGCUUGGUCUGAAUUGGAUUAUGGUUUUGCAUUGGUGGCUAGCUCGGCCAGUCAAGCCAACAAAUGCAGAAGCCUCUUUAUGACAACAAAGAUUUCAGGCCAUGUGCAUAUCAUGUACUGUUGGGGGAAACAGUCCAAACGGUUGAGAUGGGAUUUCAGACUUGCAAGCAAGUGGUACCUGGCUUCCUUCUUUUUUUCACUAGAAAAAAUGUUCCUUCCUGUUUAACAAAAAAGAUAGAAAAUGAAAAAAGCCUCAAACAGGAACAACCAAGCACACAAACUGAAGAUUUAUACCAUUUACUGCCACCAAGGACUUAUUAUCUCACCGUUUCAACAAGUUUGGUGUAGUGCUGAAGGUACUCAUUGUCACUAAUGCCGCAACGGACCAGCCAACAGGUUCAUUUUAAUUUUAAAAUCUUUAGUGCUUAUUAUAGCUGAGCUAAGAUUUGUAUCAUGCUAUUCAUUUUACCCCUUUUUGGAAUAUAACUUGUUUAUUGAGACAUUCAUAAGGCUUCAAUGACACAUCUGUAUAUCUGCAGGUUAUAGGUGCUUAACAUUAGAUAAUUGCUCAAUGGCCAAAAAAUGUGAAUACAAUAAUUCAGGGCAUUUUAUACCAUUCUACACUAAGCUUGUGAGUGUUUCAAACUAUCAAUGAACAUUAUAUUUAUAAUAAUUGGUCAUAUUACAUAAGCCCCUCCAUUUGGUUGCUCUUUGCUGAUGUAAUCUGUGCAUGCCAAGUUUGAAUUCUUGAAUUGAUGUUUUUUAGUUGAAUUAUGGUCUAAUGUCACUGCACUUGAUGCAGCAAAAACAUAGGGUCCUGUGUACAUGUUAUGUUUUAUAUGUAUAUAUGGGUUUUGGAGAAGUUCCGUCUCGCUGUCAUUAUCCCCCCCCCCCCACAAAAAAAACUAAAAUGUCGAGCUAGGUUCGGCAAAACACGUAUGUUUAUCCUGAUAUGUUUGUGCCCUCACCUGAAAUAAAUUCUUACUGUUCCCAGUCUUACAUGCUAUUUGUAUGGAGCCUAACAUCUCCGUCUCCAUGACCACAGAUGGGAGACGGAGUAGUUGCUGGGCUGUUGAUUGGGGACUGCAGUGACCGGCUGACCGCCUCCGUGUCCAUGCCUCUAGAAUUUGGGACUUCUAUGAUCUUAAAGAUGAGACAAGGCUGCUGCAUAGUGACUUGGUGUUGCUUGAUAUGAUGAAGAGUACGUUGUGUAGCGUUUUUACUCAUAAUACAGUGAUCAAGUAAUUACAUAGGGCACAAUGUUUACACCAUCUGUAGAAUAUAAUGCAAAGGUCGCAAUAGCUAUGAAUAUAGUUAGACGGGCUGUAGCUAUCACAUAAAUAGGACUAGCAAAUCUCAGAUAAGUUGUUUCGAAACAUUAUCUUCCAUAGGGCGCCCGUAAGGGCGCGGUCUAUUCUAGUGUAUAGAUAAUUUAUAGUGUCUAGCCGCGUACUGAUAUUUUUCUACUGUUAUUGUAUAGGAUUUAGCCAUUUAGGGUUCAUGUUAGUGCAUAGAAAUAUCAUUUUGCAAAAUUAUUUAGAUGGUAUAUGUAUAGUACUAUUUAUGUUAGUGUUAGAUGGUAGUACUAUUUACAUAAUUAUUUAGAUGUUUCUUUUCUUUGGUGUUUAUUUAUUUGUUACUCAUGUGUUUCUGCUUAUUUCAUUUCAUAUCUAUACAUAGGUAUAUGUGUAUGGACUAGACCUAUAUACCGGAUGCUUCAACUGUGGAUGGUGCUUAUGACUCCUCAUGCUAAAAAUGCAGUUGACUAGGCCCAUUUUCUUAUCUUUCGUAUCAUAACUUAUUAAUUUAUUUCACUAUGUAGGGUUUGGUACAGUGUCGGUGGUCACCGACUCACCGUGCACAGAGAAGGCUAUUUCAGUUGUUUGUGUUCUAUAUAUCUUGAACUUUCAAAUAGUGUGAAUCUCUUUAUUAUGUAAAACCUUUAUAAGUUUAAACUUGUAUGUCACUAUUGUGAAGUUAUAUUGCUUUGUGUUACAUUUGGACUGUAU
rnacentral:lncRNA from 1 species